GAAACGAUAAGGUUCACUUUGGGAUUUUUAUUUUAGCCAAAGGUUUUAAGCUAGAGCAAAUACUAACAGUUGAUCCUAUGUGCAGAACAUAUUCGCAUCUUAUAAUCAACAACUGCAAAUUGCUAGAAGAGAAAAAACGGGAACAAUUUCAAGAUACAAAUUCAUGUCUUUUAAAAUUAAUACAGAUCCAGUGACUCCAGCACUCUGCGAGCUUGGAUGUGUAGGGCAGUCAGUCUCUGCUCUGGGUCAAGGGUUGAGCCAAAUUGACUAGCUGCCCAUAUCAAGGAAGCCGAUUUCUCACCAAGUAGUCGCCUUACGUCUUCUUGUAUGGUAACCAUCGGAGGCGUUUCCCUCCCAUUAACAUGGCCGAUAAGUAGCAGCAAGAACUCCCCGCAUUUUAACCUGAGAUUUUCAUCCACUUGCUUGUCCCUAAUGAGCACUGUCACUUCCUCAAUACCAUUACAAACCUCAAAAUCCAUUUGAUUGGAUGAUGAAUCCAGCAUUAUUGAGAUUAGAGCAUCCAAACAGGCACCUUGCUCCGAUGCACCUCUAGUUGAUAAUAUAUGCAACAAAACCUCAACAGCCUUGUGUUGAUGAGCCAACUUCGUGCUCUCACUGUGGAGAAGACAGCAACCUUCCAGAACUCUAAGUGCAAGCGCAACCUCUGCACCUGUUGAAGGACCAGUAAUGUUCAUAGGCUCUACCCCGAAUAUAUGAUUCAAACUUUCCACCUUCUCAUCCUCUGAAUCCUUGAGAGAAUGUCGAAACAGAACUGGAACCACUUGAAGUUCAGGUAUAGAUUGGGUUUGGCAGAAGAGGUUAAUGGCGGAGUCGGACUGUGCCACGGAUCGGAGGAAGUUAAGGAGGGAGCGGAGGCCGCGGAGGCGGAGGAAGGAGAAUUCGGCGCUAGCGUCUCUGAGGCUAGUUCGAAGGGCGAGAGUGACCUCUUUGUACAAGCGCUGCUUGUUCAAAGAGUUAACUAACUCCUCCACCGCGGUGGCCGAUGCUUGCGCCUGAGGAUCAGCUUCCCUUGAGCUAUCCUUCAAUCCGGAGCUCCAUAACGGUUUUUUCAGAUGCAUCGCUGUCUCUUCACUCGUUUGUAACCAUUGGCAUUCCCUGUAUAGGUUUAAUUGGUUUUCGCCAAUUAUUUUCGUUUUCUCUUUCUGUCGUCAGAUCAAAGGGUAAUCUUGAGAUAGAGCCAAACCCAAAGAAUCUGCUAUGGCGUUUUUUUCAGCCUUUUUCCUUUAAUUUUCU
rnacentral:misc_RNA from 1 species